rnacentral:rRNA from 1 species
UGGGGAAUCUUGGUCAAUGGGGGAAACCCUGAACCAGCGACGCCGCGUGACCGAUGAAGGCCCUCGGGUCGUAAAGGUCUUUCGACGGGGACUAUAAUGAAGGUACCCGUAAAAGCAGGAGCGGCUAACUAUGUGCCAGCAGCCGCGGUAAUACAUAGGCUCCAAGCGUUGUUCGGAAUUACUGGGCGUAAAGCGAGUGUAGGCUGUCCGCCAAGUCGAUUGUGAAAUCUCCCGGCUCAACUGGGAGGGU